rnacentral:tRNA from 1 species
GAGGGUAUAGCUCAAGCGAUAGAGCACAUGCUUAGCAUGCAUUGAGGUCCUAGAUUCAAUUCCUAGCACUUCCU